rnacentral:rRNA from 1 species
AGUUUGAUCCUGGCUCAGAUUGAACGCUGGCUGAUGCUUUACACAUGCAAGUCGAACGGCAGCACGGACUUCGGUCUGGUGGCGAGUGGCGAACGGGUGAGUAAUGUAUCGGAACGUGCCUAGUAGCGGGGGAUAAACGCGCGAAAGCGUAGCUAAUACCGCAUACCCCUUCGGGGAAAGCGGGGGACCUUCGGGCCUCGCACUAUUAGAGCGGCCGAUAUCGGAUUAGCUUAGUUGGUGGGGUAACGGCUCACAAGGCGACGAUCCGUAGCUGGUUUGAGAGGACGACCAGCCACACUGGGACUGGAGACACGGCCCAGACUCCUACGGGAGGCAGCAGUGGGGAAUUUUGGACAAUGGGAAACCCUGAUCCAGCCAUCCCGCGUGCGAUGAAGGCCUUCGGGUUGUAAAGCACUUUUGGCAGGAAAAAGAAACGGCACGGGAUAAUACCCCGUGCAACUGACGGUACCUUGCAGAAUAAGCACCUCGGCUAACUACGCCAGCAGCCGCGGUAAUACGCAGGGUGCAAGAACAGCUUAACUUUGAACUGCAUUUUUGUUCCACUGAGCUAGAGUGUGUCAGAGGGGAGGUGGAAUUCCGCGUGUAGCAGUGAAAUGCGUAGAUAUGCGGAGGAACACCGAUGGCGAAGGCAGCCUCCUGGGAUAACACCGACGCUCAUGCACGAAAGCGUGGGGAGCAAACAGGAUUAGAUACCCUGGUAGUCCACGCCCCAAACGAUGUCAACUAGUCUUCGUUGGGGCCUUCGGCCCGGUAGCGCAGCUUAACGCGUGGUUGACCGCCUGGGGAGUACGGUCGCAAGAUUAAAACUCCAAAGGAAUUGACGGGGACCCGCACAAGCGGUGGAUGAUGUGGAUUAAUUCGAUGCAACGCGAAAACCUUACCUACCCUUGAUAUGUCUGGAAUCCCGAAGAGAUUUGGGAGUGCUCGCAAGAGAACCGGAACACAGGUUGCAUGGCUGUCGUCAGCUCGUGUCGGGAUGUUGGGUUAAGUCCCAACGAGCGGCAACCCUUGUCAUUAGUUGCUACGAAAGUGUGUUCUUAAUGAGACUGCCGGUGACAAACCGGAGGAAGGUGGGGAUGACGUCAAGUCCUCAUGGCCCUUAUGGGUAGGGCUUCACACGUCAUACAAUGGUCGGGACAGAGGGUCGCCAACCCGCGAGGGGGAGCCAAUCCCAGAAACCCGAUCGUAGUCCGGAUCGCAGUCUGCAACUCGACUGCGUGAAGUCGGAAUCGCUAGUAAUCGGUGACGUGGCGUCGCGGUGAAAUACGUUCCCGGUCUUGUACACACCGCCCGGGUCACACCAUGGGAGUGGGUUUUACCAGAAGUAGUUAGCCUAACCUCGUAAGGAGGGCGAUUACCACGGUAGGAUUCAUGACUGGGGUGAAGUCGUAACAAGGU